rnacentral:rRNA from 1 species
GACGAACGCUGGCGGCGUGCUUAACACAUGCCAGUCGAGCGAGGCCCCUCCUUCGGGAGGGUGUCCUAGCGGCGAACGGGUGAGUAACACGUGGGCAACCUGCCCUCAGCUCUGGGAUAACUCCGGGAAACCGGGGCUAAUACCGGAUACGACCUCCACGGGCAUCUGCGGAGGUGGAAAGUUUUUCGGCUGAGGAUGGGCCCGCGGCCUAUCAGCUAGUUGGUGGGGUAGUGGCCCACCAAGGCGACGACGGGUAGCCGGCCUGAGAGGGCGACCGGCCACACUGGGACUGAGACACGGCCCAGACUCCUACGGGAGGCAGCAGUGGGGAAUAUUGCGCAAUGGGCGAAAGCCUGACGCAGCGACGCCGCGUGAGGGACGAAGGCCUUCGGGUUGUAAACCUCUUUCAGCAGGGACUAAGCGAAAGUGACGGUACCUGCAGAAGAAGCACCGGCCAACUACGUG